rnacentral:rRNA from 1 species
GGCUGCAACUCGCCUACAUGAAGUCGGAAUUGCUAGUAAUCGCGGAUCAGCAUGCCGCGGUGAAUACGUUCCCGGGCCUUGUACACACCGCCCGUCACACCAUGGGAGUCGGUAACACCCGAAGCCUGUAGUCUAACCGCAAGGGGGACGCAGUCGAAGGUGGGAUUGAUGACUGGGGUGAAGUCGUAACAAGGUAGC